CUCACCAAGGCGACGAUCCCUAGCUGUUCUGAGAGGAUGAUCAGCCACACUGGGACUGAGACACGGCCCAGACUCCUACGGGAGGCAGCAGUGGGGAAUAUUGCACAAUGGGCGAAAGCCUGAUGCAGCCAUGCCGCGUGUGGGAAGAAGGCCUUCGGGUUGUAAAGCACUUUCAGUAGGGAGGAAAGGGUGUUACUUCUCCGUAAUAUCUGUGACGUUUCCUACAGAAGAAGGAAGGGCUAACUCCGUGCCAGCAGCCGCGGUAAUACGGAGGGUCCGAGCGUUAAUCGGAAUUACUGGGCGUAAAGCGUGCGCAGGCGGUUUGUUAAGCCAGAUUUGAAAUCCCCGGGCUCAACCUGGG
rnacentral:rRNA from 1 species